AGAUAAGACUCUUGUUCUCAGUGUCCUUGAUGGAAACGGCAAUGAACUUUUUGCAGAUUGGACCAUCUCGGAAAUCCCAAAGAUCGGAAACUAUUUUUUUUCUCAGAAUCGUCCACACAGCAUUGAGCCUUAGGAAUUUCUAAGAAGGAUCUGGGAUGAAAAACAAUCUUUUGAAAAGGUAUUUGUGUAGCUUCACUUCAGCAAGAUUCAUGGUGGGUGUUAGACAAAGUGCUGGUGUUAAGCCAAACCAUGUUUUUCAAAGACUCAUCUGGCCUCAAGGUUGGCAGGAUCAGAGUGGCCUCCCAGGAUCUAUCACAUCCUCAGAAGAGUUGGUUCAACUGGCAUGUACCCAGAUCUCUUUGAGCUAGUAUGACACUCCCUUGAGUCAAAGGCUGCCACAUCACAUCUCCUUUAAGUCCCCCUAAGUACGACCCCAGAAGUAUUGACAAAAUAGUGCUAUUCCUGAAGAUUUCAGGAGGACAUAAAUGAAGAGACUGAACUGCAAGGUACAAAAACUUCCAUCUUUGCUAAAGACCCUCAUCCAGGCUGGGCACGGUGACUCACGCCUGUAAUCCCAGCAAUUUGGGAGGCCGAGGUGGACGGAUCACCUGAGGUCGGGAGUUCAAGACCAGCCUGACCAACAUGGAGAAACCCCAUCUCUACAAAAAAUACACAAUUAGCUGGGCGUGGUGGCACAUGCCUGUAAUCCCAGCUACUAGGGAGGCUGAGGCAGGAGAAUCUCUUGAACCUGGGAGGCGUAGGUUGCGGUGAGCUGAGAUCGUGCUAUUGCACUCCUGCCUGGGCAACAAGAGUAAAACUCCAUCUCAAAAACAAACAAAAAGUCCUUAUCCGAUAGUCAUGCCACUCUAUCUGGCCAUGUAAUUUCUCCUCCUGGCUUUCUGUAGCAACAGCCUUCUGAGGAACCUCACUCUGCCGUUCAAAACCCCUUCAACUUGUACCCUUCAUCAGCAAAGUACUUAGCUCAACAGGUAUGCCUCUGGGGGAACUCAUCCACAUGCCAUUUAAGGAUAUUUCCAGCAACAUCAUCUUCACUACCCCAGGAUGGCAUUUUAGAGUGGAUGACGUGCCUGCUGGAUUUGUUGUACUCGAGCGAGUUAGAGAAAACGCUACACUUUGAGACGAAUUAAGAGUCUGUUUAUUUAGCCAGCGGCUAAGAAAUGGCUAACGUUUAAAGUUCUCUCGACCUCGAAGUAGAGGCUAGAUUUUCUUUUAUACUUUGGUUUAGAAAGGGGAGGGGGUCUAGUUAAAACAAUUUUACAGAAGUAGGCAAAAAAGUUAAAAGGAUAAAUUGUUAAGGAAAGUAAACAGUUCUAGGUCUAGGGGCUUUAAGACUAUUACAAGGUGAUAGACGCGGGGCUUUGGGCGUUAUCAAUUGGACGAAUUCCUGGGAACUGCGGAUAUUGCUCGCCACAGUUUCUUAUCAGUUAAUUGCAUUCUUCGAUGUGCUGGGAGUCAGCUUGCACAAGUUAAGUCCUUGAGGAAGGGGCUGCCAGUGAAAGAGCCAAGAUGGAGUAUGUCUGGCUCUCGUAGCUAAGGGAGAGUCAAUUCAGGUGGAAACAAGGCUAGGUGAUUAAAAGAAAGGGAGAGUCUAAAAACAGGGUUAGUAAAAACAAGGUUGGGCAUUACAUUCCUCAUUGUGUUUUUGGGGAAUCAAAUCGUUGAUUCUUUAGUUAUAACAAGGGGUUUAUAUUGAGUUUUAAGAUACAUAAGUUUGACAGAAGCUAUGUGUUGUUUUACAAAAUUAAUAAACUAAUUUAAUAUACAAGGUCCAAAAAUUAGACUUAAUACUAGGAUGGGGAGGGGGUCUGGCUAACUUAGUAAUUAGAAUAGUUAGCUCUGGGUUCUAGUUGAACAUGCUUUGAUACUAGGGGAUGUUAUUUUCUUGUUCUUGUUGGCGCUUAUCUAGAUUUUCUUGCACUUUCUGGAGUGUAUCUUUUAUGACUAAGAAUGGUGGAGGAACAGUUAAAUCAACUUUGUCAGGGUGUUUCUGGAACAUAGGGUUACUUAGAUCAGUUAAAGGCCUGAUUGGCUUGGGUGGGCUUUAUGAGACUAGGGUUUUUUUGGAUAGUGAACAUAGACUUAACAUUAAAUCCUGGGAUAUAGAAUCUUAAUCUUCAUGACAUGCCAUGAUACUAUUGAGUUGAAUUAAGGUCAUGGACAGCUAUAGUAAGAGGAUUACAAUUUUUCUAGUACAUAAUUUAGGAUGAGAAGCACGACUUAUGGAAAGAGUUGAAGAUCUGGUUGAUCUUUUAGAGUAGGUGGCUAAAGUUACACGUGUCUAAUCAGGGCAGAAAAACUGAUAAGUAUCUUGACAGCUAGCAUCAGGGUGAUUUCUAGGACAGAGGUAAAAGUCAAUAUUUUGGAGUCUUUUUUCUGCACUUUUGGAGCUUCUACACUUAGUUUGGCUCUUGGAGUGUCUGAAUCUUGCUGCAAGGUUGACACUUCCUGCUCCUGGGACUGGCAGAUUGUGUUGUUUUUCGUGGGUAUGGACUGGCUUUGGGAAUAGUACAAAUAAAUCAACUGCAAAGGAGACUUCCUUGGAGGUACUGGCCUUCUAAGUGGUGUUUGCAAAUACACGUCCUGUUGUGAAAGAGGUGAGGAGAAAGGAGUAGGAAGGUACAGAGGACGUAACUGGCAAAAACAAAUAAGUGAGGUAGUAAAAAGAAUGUAUCUAAUGGCUUCACCUGACUUAGGCGCAGUUUUAAGGGGCCUGACUUAGGCCUGGGGACUUAUGUUUUUAGUUGGGCUCUGUUGGCCUUUUUGAUGCGGGAGUGAUGAAUCUAGGCAGGAAUGCCAUCUACUUUCAGAGCAGCUGGCGUCGUGAGGAUGACGGUGUGAGGUCUUUUCUAAGCAGGAGUGAGUCUUUCUUUUUGGAACUUUUUAACAAACGCUAGGUCUCCUGGCUGGAAUGAAUGGCAGGACUUUUUCUGGUCAGGAACUGGAUUGGGAUGGGCUCCUCGAACAAGUGGCAGGAUGAUCUCUUGUACCAGUUGGAGAGACUAUAGGUACUGUAAUAAAUUAGUUUGUGAUAUUUCUGCUAAUUUGGCAUCCCUUAGCUUAGGCAAGAUAGGCAGCGCCUUCUUAUACAUGAUUUCAAAGGGUGAGAACUUAGCCUGGUAAGGGGUGCACCUUACUUUAAGUAGGGCUAAAGGAAGGAGACUUACUUAAUUUACACCGGUUUUUAAGAUUAAUUUUGUAGGAGUGUUUUUUAGGGUGUGGUUCACGCUUUCUACUUGCCUGGAACUCUGGGGCUGAUAGAGCUCCAGGCAAUAGAGGCACAAUGGAGCUUCUAUUGAACGUUUAACGCCUUACUGACUGACUGAGCUAUAGGCGAGGUGAAGGCUGCUCUAUUAUCAGACUUUAUGGCAGCAGGCAGCCUAUAUUGAGGGAUGAUUUCAUUGCGUAAAAACUUAACUACUGUGUUGGUGGUUUCGUUUUCGGUAGCAAAUGCCUUAGUCUAUCUGGAGAAGGUGUCUACUAGUACUAGAAGGUAUUUGUACUUAGCCUGGUGUGGUUUGACUUCUGUAAAGUCAAUUUCUUACUUUUUUCUCGGCGAGUUUUUUCAGAGACAGUGGCCUGGGCUGGGUUUAGGACUUUGUUUGGCAUUUACUUGGGUGCAGGUUGUGCACUGGAGAGCGGCUUAAUCUGAUAGGCUUUGAAGACGGGGGAUCUUAAAAUGGCUCCGGAGGAGCUGAGGUAGCUUUGCUCUUUUUAAGUGGGUGGUAGACUGCAGGUGACUGAUUAAAGUUUCUUUAAGAGUUCAGGAUAUGAAGAUUCUAGAGUCAGGAAGAAUCUACUAACUUUCCUGAUUUUUAUUGGCUCUGAGAUCUGAAGCCAGUUUUUUUGUUGUUGUUGUUGUUGAGUAUACGGGAUUGUCAGGCAGAUCUGGCUGAGGAAAGGAGACUGUGGGCAGCAAGUUUAGAGGCGUGACUGAAAGUUGCGCUGCGACCUGAGCUGCUGAAUCAGCUUUCUAGUUACUAUGGGCAAAGCCGUGUUUUCUUUUUGAUGUCCUUUGCAGUGGAUCACAGCUAUCUGCUGAGACAGACAAGGGGAGGGGCUCCUGUGAUGGGAUCAGUCAGAUGCCUGCCUGGCCGCUCCCCCUGAGGGGACUUGGGCUCCUCUUAACAUUGGCAGGCUGGUAUAAACUUCCGGCUCAGAUCAAGCUAUGCCUGAUGCUGCCUUAAGCCUUAUGAGGUCGCCACGGAACCGCAGAAACUCCUGGAGGGCAGAGCUGUGUCUGCCAUCUUCAUCAUUGCAUUACCACCACCAAGCACAGUGCCUGGCACAAAAGAGUUGCUCAAUAAAUAAAUCAGGAUGAAUGGAUAAAUACAUGGAUAGGCACUUUGAGCUACAGAUGAGUUUAAAUACUUUGUGUUUUUCUUAGUCAAACAUGUGCAAUUAAGCAUGUGAUAAAUGAUAUGAUGACCACACCUGUGUGUUGCCUGAUGUUCUUUGCAAUCACUAAAUGAAGUCAAUUGUGCCUGUUUUGACAGUUCUGUUUUCAACCUAAUGAUCUGUUUCUUUUAACUUCUGGCUGUUGGCUUUGUUUGGGUUUGUUAGCCUGACAAAGUGGCAGACAUUAGUAUUUGCUCUUUUGUUUAAAUGUCAUGAACUUUAAAAAUGCCUUUGCUUUUGGUAAGAAACCCUAGUUAGGACAGUCUAGCAGUCAGGAUGAUUUGGGUUCUGGUGCAGUAACAACAAUCC
rnacentral:lncRNA from 1 species